rnacentral:rRNA from 1 species
CAAGUCGAACGGAGUUUUAAGUGGAAGUUUCGGAUGGAAGUUAAAACUAGUGGCGGACGGGUGAGUAACGCGUGGGUAACCUGCCUCAGUACAGGGGGAUAACAGUUAGAAAUGACUGCUAAGACCGCAUAAGUAUAGCGAAACCGCAUGAUUUUUGCUAUCAAAUAUUUAUAGGUAUGAGAUGGGCCCGCGUCUGAUUAGCUAGUUGGUGGGGUAAAAGCCUACCAAGGCGACGAUCAGGUAGCCGGCUUGAGAGAGUGACCGGCCACAUUGGGACUGAGACACGGCCCAAACUCCUACGGGAGGCAGCAGUGGGGAAUAUUGGACAAUGGGGGGAAACCCUGAUCCAGCGAACGCCGCGUGAGUGAAGAAGUAUUUCGGUAUGUAAAGCUCUAUCAGCAGGGAAGAUAAUGACAGUACCUGACUAAGAAGCCCCGGCUAACUACGUGCCAGCCGCAGC